AGGACGAACGCUGGCGGCGUGCUUAACACAUGCAAGUCGAGCGGUAAGGCCCUUCGGGGUACACGAGCGGCGAACGGGUGAGUAACACGUGGGUAACCUGCCCUGUACUGUGGGAUAAGCCUGGGAAACUGGGUCUAAUACCGCAUAUGACUGCAUCCUGCAUGGGGUGUGGUGGAAAGUUCUGGCGGUACAGGAUGGGCCCGCGGCCUAUCAGCUUGUUGGUGGGGUGAUGGCCUACCAAGGCGACGACGGGUAGCCGGCCUGAGAGGGCGACCGGCCACACUGGGACUGAGACACGGCCCAGACUCCUACGGGAGGCAGCAGUGGGGAAUCUUGCGCAAUGGGCGAAAGCCUGACGCAGCGACGCCGCGUGAGGGAUGACGGCCUUCGGGUUGUAACCUCUUUCGACCGGGACGAAGCGUGAGUGACGGUACCGGUAGAAGAAGCACCGGCUAACUACGUGCCAGCAGCCGC
rnacentral:rRNA from 1 species